AUUGAACGCUGGCGGCAGGCCUAACACAUGCAAGUCGGACGAGCGGCGGACGGGUGAGUAAUGUCUGGGAAACUGCCUGAUGGAGGGGGAUAACUACUGGAAACGGUAGCUCAUACCGCAUACCAUCAGAUGUGCCCAUAUGGGAUUAGCUUGUAGGUGGGGUAAAGGCUCACCUAGGCGAAGAUCCCUAGCUGGUCUGAGAGGAUGAAAAGCCACCCUGGAACUGAGACACGGUCCAGACUCCUACGGGAGGCAGCAGUGGGGAAUAUUGCACAAUGGGCGCAAGCCUGAUGCAGCCAUGCCGCGUGUAUGAAGAAGGCCUUCGGGUUGUAAAGUACUUUCAGCGGGGAGGCGUUACCCGCAGAAGAAGCACCGGCUAACUCCGUGCCAGCAGCCGCGGUAAGUC
rnacentral:rRNA from 1 species